rnacentral:rRNA from 1 species
GUGUCAGCAGCCGCGGUAAUACGAAGGGGGCUAGCGUUGUUCGGAAUUACUGGGCGUAAAGCGCGCGCAGGUGGCUUAUCAAGUCAGGGGUGAAAGCCCGGAGCUCAACUCCGGAAUUGCCUUUGAAACUGAUGAGCUUGAGUACGGGAGAGGUGAGUGGAAUUCCCAGUGUAGAGGUGAAAUUCGUAGAUAUUGGGAAGAACACCGGUGGCGAAGGCGGCUCACUGGCCCGUUACUGACACUCAUGCGCGACAGCGUGGGGAUCAAACAGGAUUAGAUACCCGCGUAGUCC